CUCUGCAACCCACUGCUUCACUCAUUCGGUCGUUCCCUUUUGAUUUCGGUUCUCCAUUUUUCUCAUCCUUCUUUUUUUCUCUCAUUCUUUUAUUUUCUCUUACUAGAAAACCCAUGAAACCGAAGAAUCGAAUGGAGAUAUCGAUGCUACCAUUCUCUAACACCAUCUUCUUCUCUUCAGUGACUUUUUCUUUUUCUCCUUGGAACUGAACCAUAAGGUUACAGGUCAUGAGAGGGAAAUACAGAGAAGUGAUGAUCCUGACUCCAUGGUUGAGAAAAAGGUGGCUCUUUUUGAGGUAAAUGUUGUUUUUUUAAUUGGUAACUUUUUGAUAUACAAUUCAUCCACAUUAGUCAUAAAGGUGUUAUGUUUGCUAUUUUAGUGUCUAUUAAAAGGUGCCCCUCAACUCCAUUUACCACCAGCAAAACUUUCGCAAGAAAACAUAACUCAUUAUUUGUCAUUAAAACCAAUUGAGUAUUUUAAUCUCCAACACAAACUAAGUACCAUUCUUUCUCCCUUGUUGCAAUCAGGUCCAAAGAACAAUUUUUCAUUAAUACUAGAAAUGCAUAAGCAUGGAUGAAAUGGAAAAAUCUCAGUAGUUAAAGAAAAGGCUUUGUUCAUAUCAGACUAAUGAAUUUGGAAGCCUUUUUUAAGCUACAAUUGGUAUUGAAAUAGUCAAUAAUUGCGCUUGAGGUUAUUAAGCUUUGAAUUUAUUGCAGCCUGAAAAUCUAUUAAUGGACUCAUAUGGUAUUCUAAAAGUUUCAGACUUUGGGUCUCAACAAGUAGGGGUGUGCAAAAAAAACCGCAAAACUGAAAAACCGAGCCGAAUCGUUCAAUCCGAAACCAAAAAAACCGAAACCGAAAAAAACCGUAACUGAAAAAAACCAAAACCGAAAAAACCGGAUAUCAACAGGUCGAUUUUUGGUUUUCAUAUUUAGGUAUCCGCGGAUACCCGAACCGAAGCGUUUGAUAAUAUAUAUAUAUAUAUAUAUAUAUAUAUAUAUAUAUAUAUAUAUAUAUAUAUAUAUAUAUAUAUAUAUAUAUAUAUAUAUAAAGUAAAAAAAACUAUUAUUUCAUUAGUAUUGUUUGAUCAAUCUACGAGUCCAAUAACCUAAACAAAAAUUCAUAUCGACAACUCCAAUUUUGUAAUUCUAAAUUCAUUCGCUUUUCUUGUUAUUUUUAUUAUUGUAUUUAUUAUACAACUUAGAAUAUAUGAUAUUUGAAUUUCAUUACGAUUUUUAAACUUCAUUAUGUUUUUUUAAACUCUUUGACUUACUAAUUUUAAGAAAGAGAUAACUAAAAUGGAGUUUGUAGCUUCAAUUGAAUUUAAUUCUUUAUAUUUUACUGGGUACCCGUGAACCGAACCAUGGUUACCCGCUUUCAUACGGUUCAGCUUUUUUUAUCAAUACAGUUCGGUUUCGGUUAGUGCGCAUUAGGUACCCGCCCCGUGGUCACAGUUCACAAUUUUAUUACUAUCCGAACCGAACCGCCUCGUGAACACCCUUAUCAACAAGCGGUGCGUGUACAUGUGCAGCAAGCUUCAGACAUGAAAAGGUUUUAUAUGUUCUUGGUUAUUUACAUUUGAAUUCUUUGUAAAUUUAGGAAGAUGGUCCUAUGGGACUCCAAACUAUGUUGCUCUUGAUGUAACAGUGCAGUGAUAUCAUCAAACUUUAUGAAUGUAAAAUGGAAAAUAUUUACAUGAGUUGUCACA